UAGCCAGCUAACUAAUCUGAUUAUCAGAAUGUGUAUCUUCAGAGAUUUAGAAAAAUCUGGAAACAGUAAGGCCAUGUUAUGAGCCUUAAAGAUAGCUAUAGUCAUUAACGUCCUUCGAAACAGCUAUAAUA
ensembl:snoRNA